rnacentral:rRNA from 1 species
GUGCCAGCAGCCGCGGUAAUACGAAGGGGGCUAGCGUUGUUCGGAAUUACUGGGCGUAAAGCGCGCGCAGGCGGUUUUGUAAGUUGGGGGUGAAAUCCCCGGGCUCAACCCGGGAAUGGCCUUCAAGACUGCAAAGCUAGAGGACGAGAGAGGUGAGUGGAAUUCCCAGUGUAGAGGUGAAAUUCGUAGAUAUUGGGAAGAACACCGGUGGCGAAGGCGGCUCACUGGCUCGUUUCUGACGCUGAGGCGCGAAAGCGUGGGGAGCAAACAGGAUUAGAAACCCCUGUAGUCC